GGUCGACUCAUAGGGUCGACCAUGCUCAUGGGUUGACUCAUGGGGUCGACCUCUAUGGAAAAGAGCAAAAAAUGACUAUUCUGUAAUUUUAGCCUGCAGAACAGCAGAGGUCGAUUCAUAGAGUCGACUCAUGCCAAGGGGUCGACCCAUGGGGUCAACUCACAGAGUGUGCCAGCCAACAAAUUUUGCAUGCCGUUCAGCUCUUCUAGCCAUGAGUCGACUCAUGGGGUCGACUCAAAAAUAUAAAUCUAAUUUUUUUACAAAAUACACUUUCAAAAAUAUUAAAAUUGCCUCCAAUAGAUUGCACAUCUUCUGUUCUUGCUCUUGAGGCUUCCGAAUCAGGUCUUGAUAAAAUUACGAUUUUGCUCCUGAAAUGCAAUAAAUCUUUUUCCAAGCCAAAAUCAUUAGUA
rnacentral:lncRNA from 1 species